rnacentral:rRNA from 1 species
CGAACGCUGGCAGCGUGCUUAACACAUGCAAGUCGAACGGAAAGGCCCUGCUUUUGUGGGGUGCUCGAGUGGCGAACGGGUGAGUAACACGUGAGUAACCUGCCCUUGACUUUGGGAUAACUUCAGGAAGCUGGGGCUAAUACCGGAUAGGAGCUCCUGCUGCAUGGUGGGGGUUGGAAAGUUUCGGCGGUUGGGGAUGGACUCGCGGCUUAUCAGCUUGUUGGUGGGGUAGUGGCUUACCAAGGCUUUGACGGGUAGCCGGCCUGAGAGGGUGACCGGCCACAUUGGGACUGAGAUACGGCCCAGACUCCUACGGGAGGCAGCAGUGGGGAAUAUUGCACAAUGGGCGGAAGCCUGAUGCAGCAACGCCGCGUGCGGGAUGACGGCCUUCGGGUUGUAAACCGCUUUCGCCUGUGACGAAGCGUGAGUGACGGUAAUGGGUAAAGAAGCACCGGCUAACUACGUG